UGAAUGUUUAGAUUAUUUUGAUCUUUGUCUCCUUGACGGCCUACGGUUCGACGUCCUCUGCCCAGCAACCAACCACCUGGACCAGCCCUCACUUUUACUACCAUUACAACACCCUACUAACCCUGCCUACCCAGAAGGUAUCAGCCGAUGAAAAAGCAGGAAAUAAGCAGCAGCUUUUCACUAAUUACAACGAUCACAGUAUGCAAAACACCUUAGGAUCUCAUGUCGUACUGCUAACAACAUGCCUGAGGGAUCUGAAAACUACGAAAGCCGAUUUGGUGCACACACAUUCCGAGGUCGAAAAUGUUAAAAAGGAACUGAAUAAGCUGAAAGAUACUUAAUUUAACUCGACGUCAAAUCCACUUUUGGCCAAUGUUAUAGCCACGGUGGAAAGUAUGAAAAAAGAGAUGACUGGUAUGGCCGACAAAACAGCGUUGGCACAGACUACGCAACGCUUGGAUGAAACUCACACAUCA
rnacentral:lncRNA from 1 species